rnacentral:rRNA from 1 species
UACGGAGGGUGCAAGCGUUAAUCGGAAUUACUGGGCGUAAAGCGUGCGCAGGCGGUUUGCUAAGACAGGUGUGAAAUCCCCGGGCUUAACCUGGGAACUGCGCUUGUAACUGGCAAGCUGGAGUGCGGCAGAGGGGGGUGGAAUUCCCGGUGUAGCGGUGAAAUGCGUAGAGAUCGGGAGGAACAUCAGUGGCGAAGGCGGCCAUCUGGGACAACACUGACGCUGAAGCACGAAAGCGUGGGGAGCAAACCGG